AUUGAACGCUGGCGGCAGGCCUAACACAUGCAAGUCGAGCGGAUGAGGGAAGCUUGCUUCCCGAUUUAGCGGCGGACGGGUGAGUAAUGCCUAGGAAUCUGCCUAUUAGUGGGGGAUGACGUUCCGAAAGGAACGCUAAUACCGCAUACGUCCUACGGGAGAAAGUGGGGGAUCUUCGGACACCACGCUAAUAGAUGAGCCGAGGUCGGAUUAGCUAGUUGGUGAGGUAACGGUUCACCAAGGCGACGAUCCGUAGCUGGUCUGAGAGGAUGAUCAGCCACACUGGAACUGAGACACGGUCCAGACUCCUACGGGAGGCAGCAGUGGGGAAUAUUGGACAAUGGGCGAAAGCCUGAUCCAGCCAUGCCGCGUGUGUGAAGAAGGUCUUCGGAUUGUAAAGCACUUUAAGUUGGGAGGAAGGGUUGUAAGCUAAUAUCUUGCAGCUUUGACGUUACCAACAGAAUAAGCACCGGCUAACUCUGUGCCAGCAGCCGCCGCCGUAA
rnacentral:rRNA from 1 species